rnacentral:rRNA from 1 species
ACGGGUGAGUAACACGUGGUCAACCUGCCUCCGUGUGGGGGAUAACUAGCCGAAAGGUUAGCUAAUACCGCAUACGAUCGCCCUGGGGCAUCCCUGGGCGAUGAAAGGAGCAAUCCGCACGGAGAGGGGACUGCGUCCCAUUAGUUAGUUGGUGGGGUAACGGCCUACCAAGACUGCGAUGGGUAGCUGGCUUGAGAGAGCGACCAGCCACACUGGAACUGAGACACGGUCCAGACUCCUACGGGAGGCAGCAGUGAGGAAUUUUCCGCAAUGGGCGAAAGCCUGACGGAGCGACGCCGCGUGUGGGAAGAAGGCCUUCGGGUCGUAAACCACUGUCGAAGGGGACGAUAUUGACGGUACCCUUGGAGGAAGCCCCGGCUAACUACGUGCCAGCAGCCGCGG